GAUGAACGCUGGCGGUGCGCCUAAUACAUGCAAGUCGAACGAGAACUUCAUUUGAAUUUAUUCAUACCGAAGGGAAAGUGGCGGACGAGCGAGUAACACGUAAGUAUCUACCCCGAACUCAGGGAUAACUCACCGAAAGGUGGGCUAAUACCGGAUAGUCUCGAAAGAGUAAAGCUCCGGCGGUUCGGGAGGAGCUUGCGGUCUAUCAGCUAGUUGGUGAGGUAACUGCUCACCAAGGCUAUGACGGAUAGCUGGUCUGAGAGGAUGAUCAGCCGCGAUGGGACUGAGACACGGCCCAUACUCCUACGGGAGGCAGCAGUAGGGAAUCUUCCGCAAUGGGCGAAAGCCUGACGGAGCGACACCGCGUGGAGGACGACGGCCUUCGGGUUGUAAACUCCUUUUAUGAGGGAAGAAGAUCUGACGGUACCUCAUGAAUAAGCCCCGGCUAAUUACG
rnacentral:rRNA from 1 species